UACGAAGGGGGCUAGCGUUGCUCGGAAUCACUGGGCGUAAAGCGCACGUAGACGGAUUGUUAAGUCAGGGGUGAAAUCCUGGAGCUCAACUCCAGAACUGCCUUUGAUACUGAAGAUCUUGAGUUCGGGAGAGGUGAGUGGAACUGCGAGUGUAGAGGUGAAAUUCGUAGAUAUUCGCAAGAACACCAGUGGCGAAGGCGGCUCACUGGCCCGAUACUGACGCUGGGGCACGAAAGCGUGGGGAGCAAACAGG
rnacentral:rRNA from 1 species